UAUACUCUUCACCCCUACUAACGUGUUCGGAACAUAUUCUUUAUCGGUGUUAAGUAGAGCGUAAAAUCAAAGACUAUCGAAUGAAAUAUAAUCUCGCUGCUCCGAGACUCAAACGCGAGCUACCUGAGACCCGGUGAAUUUUCUACCGGAUAUGGAUGUGCUUUAAGGAAUUCCAGUGUUAAUUGUACUUUUUGGGGACUUUGAGUGAUUCACCACCCUUUGAACAAAUGUAUUUUGAGAUCCUCAAAGGAAUCCUAGAUUUGUCAAGAAGCCAUGUUUUAAUUGCUGCCCAUCAAAUAGUACAGUGUCUUGCAUGUGUAAAUUAUUUAUUUCCGGUUUCCUUCACUGCGGAAUUUGACCUCACCUAGCACCUCUAACCUUUUAAUGGGUCAAAAAACCCACGUGGUGUAAAUUUAAAUAACGAUAACGUUAGUAGGGGUGCUCUUGCGCAACAGAAAAAAGGACCAAGCUGCCCACAACGAAGAAAUGACGACGAGACAAUCCACAACACAAGCUCCAAAGGAGAGUCGUGACUGGAUUACUAAACAGAUCUGGGUAGGGGCUCUCUCCAGCAUCACCCUAUUCCUCGUGGGAUACCACUUCCUGCCGUUAAAGAUAACGAACGUCAAGACUUCCGCCGACGCUCUCGUUUUCACAGUCCAGUCUCUAUUCAUAUCUUCAAUUCCAAUGUUGGCCAACAUUCAAUUUAUUUCAAGCAUACGCUUCAACUCUAAGGCAAUCGAUCCCAUCAGAGGCGGGGGAGAGGAUUUGGUGGGCGUUCCCAACAGGAUCCUCAGAAACACGAUGGAACAGUUCCUGGUUCACGCAGUGGCCUUGCUGACACUGAGUACGUUCCUUGAUGAGACCUCCCUCAAGGCCAUUCCUAUCUUGUCUGGGAUAUUUGUUCUGUUCCGGUUUUUGUUUUGGUGGGGGUAUCAGAACUCCCCUCUGAACAGGGCGGUGGGUAUGAGCGGUACCGCUCUUCCCACUUUUCUUGUAUAUUUCUACUGUUUGUACCGCAUCGUAAAAAGUAUAGUUUUAUAAAUAACCCGUUACUAAUAUUUAAUUUACGUUGUGUUUGAUUCCCCUCGUCAAUUUCUAAAUCUGAAAUGUACUAAAUGUAAAGGUGAAGAUCAAACUCAUAACUUCUAUAAGGAAUACAAAAUAAGAAUUGGGCAAACACGGACUCCUGGACAUGCCUAAAUUUAAUUCAAAAUUAAUUACAAUGCUAAUUAAUUUCUACAUAAAGCAAGUCGCACCAUUUAAAACUGAUACUAUCAUUGAGCCUGAUAGAGACACGUAUUCUGCAUGUUGUCCCUAAAGGCCUCAGCCUUUGUUUUGUAUUGUAAAUACCUAAGUCACUCAGGUAAAACGCGUUAUAUUUAGAUUAAGAAUCCCCCCAAAUAAAUCUAGCGAAUACAAAAGAAGUUGGGUUUAGAUUAAUUGCUGUUCCGGUAUAUUCUUGCAUCGGAAUGUGAUGCCAGAAAAGACUUGGUGUACAGAAGCAGUUGGAUGCAGUGAUGUGACACGGUGUACAAUGUAAAAGUACACACUUAACAAACACGGCUUCACAGAGAACACGUGGACUUGUGGAAUGCGUUCAUUUCCGGAUGAUCGUCAGUUCGUGGUAAGGGCCGGUUUUGCGGGAGUUUUCAGCACAGUUUUGCUCGGUUGCUUAGGAUACCUCGUGUGCCCAUUCUCCAUCCCGUUAUCAGAUUCCAUCCUCACACGACUGGUGUACACUCUGAGAUGGCAGCUAUUCCCCGCCAUUACCCUGAUUUCUGGAGUUUUGUGUGUGAUGUACAUGCGGUUUCAAAGUUCUGCAAUAAACCCGGUGCUAGGCCGCGGCGAACAUAUUAUCGAGACUCACCAGCGAUAUCUUCGGAAUACGACAGAACAAUUUGUUCUUCACAUGAUUGGACAACUCAUGCUUUGCACGUAUCUGACGUCACAAUCACUUGCCGUAAUCCCUCUCUGUUCCAUUCUGUUUGUGAUUGGACGUGUUGCAUUUUGGGUAGGUUAUAUUAAAGAGCCUCUAAGACGAAUGUUUGGGUUUAUGAUAACCUUUUCAAUAACUUUAGGCAGUCUUUCGUAUUGUUUAUUUUGUUUUGUAAUGGCUGGCCCCACAUUUGCUCUACAUGAUUGACAGCUUUAGACAUUAUUGUAUGUAUUUUAAUUAAAAGCAUGUGAAUUGUAAUUGUAUAUACAUAUUAUAGCUAAGAAGUGUGUAUGUAUUGUAUUUUAGUACAUUAUGCAUAUCGAAUUCCGUGAUUGAUAGGUACUUUUCUUUUUUAUUUUACUGUAAACUUAUAUAUAUCCUGAGACAUAUAUAAGCAUUCUUCAGACUGGGAAGACUAUAUGGGGUUGCGCUCUACGUGUUUAUUCUGGUACAACGUUGGGUGUGGCUGACCAGUGUCAAGACAAUAAAAUAUGCUACAAGCAAACUUGGUAGACACAGCAAACAUAAAUGGGAUUUCUUUUAAUUCGAGGAAUGUCUAGACUAUACCACCAUGCUUCCAGUGUUUUUUUAAAAAUACAUUUUUUCUUUAUAUCAAAUUUUACAAAUUGGUUGAACUGUUGAAAUAUUUGAAUUGGUGAUUGCAAAUAAAUAUACGGGUAUUG